rnacentral:misc_RNA from 1 species
GCCGUAGUGUGUAUACAGAUCUAAAUUGGAGUAGAAUAUUUGCAUAGAGCAUAAAGAUCCGAUCCAGUCCUUAAAUUUAGGAUAUACUAUUAAUAAAAAGUAUACUUACUGCUCCCCUCGUUCUCACAACUUUUUAUAGUACAUAGAGAAAAAAUACAACCUUUAUUCAUCCUACAAGCAUAGAUUGGAUCAUAUUCUCUCUUCUUUUCUUUGAUUGACACUUCAAUUUUGUAUUUGUCGGUGUAAGAUUUCAGAUCUUCUUCUUCUCAACUUCUGGUUUUACUUGAUUUUUCUGACGUCAUUUUUGGCAAAGGUGAAAAAUGGCUCAGAUUCAGCUUCAUGGAACUCUACAUGUCACGAUCUUUGAGGUUGAUAAUCUGCAGGGUGAGGAGGAGGGUGGGCAUUUCUUUAGCAAGAUAAAGCAACAUUUUGAGGAGACAGUUGGUAUUGGAAAAGGAACUCCAAAACUUUAUGCUACAAUUGAUUUGGAGAAGGCUAGGGUUGGGAGAACAAGAAUAAUUGAAAAUGAACCCAAAAAUCCAAGGUGGUACGAGUCUUUUCACAUUUACUGUGCGCAUAUGGCUUCAAAUGUUAUAUUCACUAUCAAAGAUGACAAUCCCUUUGGUGCAUCCUUAAUUGGAAGAGCUUAUGUUCCGGUUGAAGAACUUCUGGAAGGGGAGGAGAUUGAUAAAUGGGUUGAGAUAAUGGAUAAAGAAAUGAAUCCUACAGCAGAAGGUUCCAAAAUCCACGUUAAGCUACAGUUUUUUGACGUCAGUCGAGAUCCAAACUGGGGACGUGGAAUUAGAAGCUCUAGAUAUCCUGGUGUCCCUUACACUUUCUUUGCACAGAGACCAGGAUCGCGGGUUUCCUUGUAUCAAGAUGCUCAUGUGCCAGACAAUUUUAUUCCUAAAAUCCCUCUCUCUGGCGGAAAGUAUUAUGAGCCCCACAGAUGUUGGGAA